AUUGAACGCUGGCGGCAUGCCUAACACAUGCAAGUCGAACGGCAGCACGGGAGCUUGCUCCUGGUGGCGAGUGGCGGACGGGUGAGUAAUGCAUAGGAAUCUGCCCAGUAGCGGGGGACAACUUGGGGAAACUCAAGCUAAUACCGCAUGCGCCCUACGGGGGAAAGCGGGGGACCUUCGGGCCUCGCACUAUUGGAUGAGCCUAUGUCAGAUUAGCUUGUUGGUGGGGUAACGGCCUACCAAGGCGACGAUCUGUAGCUGGUCUGAGAGGACGAUCAGCCACACUGGGACUGAGACAUGGCCCAGACUCCUACGGGAGGCAGCAGUGGGGAAUAUUGCACAAUGGGCGAAAGCCUGAUGCAGCAAUGCCGCGUGUGUGAAGAAGGCCUGCGGGUUGUAAAGCACUUUCAGUAGGAGGAAACAGUAGCCGGUUAAUAUCCGGUUGCCUUGACGUUACCUACAGAAGAAGCACCGGCUAACU
rnacentral:rRNA from 1 species